UACGUAGGGUGCGAGCGUUGUCCGGAAUUAUUGGGCGUAAAGGGCUCGUAGGCGGUCUGUCGCGUCAGGAGUGAAAACUCGGGGCUUAACCCCGAGCCUGCUUCUGAUACGGGCAGACUAGAGGUAUGCAGGGGAGAACGGAAAUUCCUGGUGUAGCAGUGAAAUGCGUAGAUAUCAGGAGGAACACCGAUGGCGAAGGCAGGUCUCUGGGCUGACACUGACGCUCAUGCACGAAAGCGUGGGGAGCG
rnacentral:rRNA from 1 species